GAUGAACGCUAGCGGCAGGCUUAACACAUGCAAGUCGAGGGGUAUAGUUCUUCGGAAUUAGAGACCGGCGCACGGGUGCGUAACGCGUAUGCAAUCUACCUUUUGCAGAGGGAUAGCCCCAGAGAAAUUUGGAUUAAUACCUCAUAGUAUAGUACUUUGGCAUCAAGGAACUAUUAAAGUCACAACGGCAAAGAUGAGCAUGCGUCCCAUUAGCUAGUUGGUAAGGUAACGGCUUACCAAGGCUACGAUGGGUAGGGGUCCUGAGAGGGAGAUCCCCCACACUGGUACUGAGACACGGACCAGACUCCUACGGGAGGCAGCAGUGAGGAAUAUUGGACAAUGGGCGCAAGCCUGAUCCAGCCAUGCCGCGUGCAGGAUGACGGUCCUAUGGAUUGUAAACUGCUUUUGUACAGGAAGAAACACUACUUCGUGAAGUAGCUUGACGGUACUGUAAGAAUAAGGAUCGGCUAACUCCGUGCCAGCAGCCG
rnacentral:rRNA from 1 species